rnacentral:rRNA from 1 species
CCAAUAGCGUAUAUUAAAGUUGUUGCAGUUAAAAAGCUCGUAGUUGAAUUUCGGGAUUGACGUGAUGGUCGUGCCUUAAGGGGUAUGAACUGUUGCUGUUGAUUUCUCACCUUCUGGAGAAUCUUGAUGUCCUUAAUUGGGUGUCUUGCGGAUCCAGGACCUUUACCUUGAAAAAAUUAGAGUGUUUAAAGCAGGCAUUUUGCUCGAAUACAUUAGCAUG